rnacentral:lncRNA from 12 species
ACUGAGGGGACCACUUGGCCAGAUGAGCACUGGGUGUUAUGCUAUAUGUUGGUAAAUAGAACUCCAAUAAAAAAUAAUAAAUAAAUAAAUAAAUAAAUAAGAAAAAAUAAAUAGGGACAGCUUAGUUGUCUCUAGUUUGGGCAAUCCUAAAUAAAACUGACUUUAUUUGCAAAACAAACUUGAAUACCUUGCAAAAAGACAGGCUUUAUGGGCUACCAUCCUGAAUCAGUUUGGAUUAGGCCUGUUAAAAAACAUAUUUCAGAUGGAUGGAAGAUGGUGGAAUAGAAUUCCUCAUGUCAGCUGGUCCCCUAAAUUUAGCUACAUAACUACCAAGCUAUCCUGAACAGCAGUGAAUUCAAGCUGAGAUGUAAGGAAGAAUGCCUGACUCUACAAAUCAAAAGAUACACCCCUGUUGAGACAGCAGGUGAUUGCUGUGCAGCUGCAUUCACUUUGAAAGCACUAUGAUGUCACACAUUUCCAUGGUGACGAGAAAUAUACCUCUGCUUUUCUUCCCAACUGUCACUCUUUGAGCUGAGCAGUUCAUAGUUGAUAUUGAGUGAGUUGUCAGCUCUCUACCUAGCGUCUUUGACAAUGGACAACCUCAAUUGUUGCUGCUGCGAUGAUGUUGCCAAGGCUGUGGUGCCAGAUUUUGUCCACCGAAACUCAAGCAACGGUGAAAUCCAGUAUCAGUGCCAGUUUAGACUUGGUGAGAGAAGCAGAGACUGUACCCAGGCUCCUUAUAUCAGUCAUGGACGUCUAAUGAAGUUUUCUUUUCAAAAAGAAUUUUCAAGAAUUAUUUAAGCCAUGGAAAACUGUGAAAUAUGUGUGUCAUCCAUUGAGUCUCUAGACAAUUAAGAGUGACUCGACUGUCACCCUUAGGACUGUGUGCACUGCCAAGUAUCUGAUUCUCUCACACAGAACUCAGAGAUUAUUUCAAUAAAUUUGAUAUUUUAUUCUUUCUUCUUAUCA